rnacentral:rRNA from 1 species
GACAGAGGGUGCGAACGUUGUUCGGAAUUACUGGGCGUAAAGCGCAUGUAGGCGGCAGCGCAAGUCGGGCGUGAAAUCCCACGGCUCAACCGUGGAAGUGCACUCGAAACUGCGCAGCUAGAGUCCUGGAGAGGAAGGCGGAAUGCUUGGUGUAGAGGUGAAAUUCGUAGAUAUCAAGCGGAACACCGGUGGCGAAGGCGGCCUUCUGGACAGUGACUGACGCUGAGAUGCGAAAGCGUGGGGAGCAAACAGG